rnacentral:rRNA from 1 species
ACACUGGGACUGAGACACGGCCCAGACUCUACGGGAGGCAGCAGUGGGGAAUUUUCCGCAAUGGGCGCAAGCCUGACGGAGCAACGCCGCGUGUGGGAUGAAGGCCUGUGGGUUGUAAACCACUUUUCUCAGGGACGAACACAAUGACGGUACCUGAGGAAUCAGCCUCGGCUAACUCUGUGCCAGCAGCCGCGGUAAGACAGAGGAGGCAAGCGUUAUCCGGAAUUAUUGGGCGUAAAGCGUCCGUAGGUGGUCUAGCAAGUCUGGGGUUAAAGCCCGGAGCCCAACUCCGGAUCGGCCUUGGAAACUGCCAGACUCGAGUAAGGUAGGGGUUGCGGGAAUUCCCGGUGUAGCGGUAAAAUGCGUAGAUAUCGGGAAGAACACCAGCGGCGAAAGCGCGCAACUGGGCCAUUACUGACACUGAGGGACGAAAGCUAGGGGAGCGAAUGGGAUUAGAUACCCCAGUAGUCCUAGCCGUAAACGAUGGUGACUAGAUGUGGCUCGUAUUGACCCGAGCCGUGUCGUAGCUAACGCGAUAAGUCACCCGCCUGGGGAGUACGCACGCAAGUGUGAAACUCAAAGGAAUUGACGGGGGCCCGCACAAGCGGUGGAGCAUGUGGAUUAAUUCGAUGCAACGCGAAGAACCUUACCAGGGCUUGACAUCCUGCGAACCCCGCUGAAAGGUGGGGGUGCCUUCGGGAGCGCAGAGACAGGUGGUGCAUGGCUGUCGUCAGCUCGUGUCGUGAGAUGUUGGGUUAAGUCCCGCAACGAGCGCAACCCGCGUCCUUAGUUGCCAGCAUUUAGUUGGGCACUCUGGGGAGACUGCCGGUGACAAGCCGGAGGAAGGUGCGGAUGACGUCAAGUCAGCAUGCCCCUUACGCCCUGGGCGUCACACGUGCUACAAUGGCCAGCACAAAGG